rnacentral:rRNA from 1 species
UGGGGAAUAUUGGACAAUGGGGGCAACCCUGAUCCAGCAAUGCCGCGUGUGUGAAGAAGGUCUUCGGAUUGUAAAGCACUUUCGACGGGGACGAUGAUGACGGUACCCGUAGAAGAAGCCCCGGCUAACUUCGUGCCAGCAGCCGCGGUAAUACGAAGGGGGCUAGCGUUGCUCGGAAUGACUGGGCGUAAAGGGCGUGUAGGCGGUUUACACAGUCAGAUGUGAAAUCCCCGGGUCUAACCUGGGAGCUGCAUUUGAUACGUGUAGACUAGAGUGUGAGAGAGGGUUUGUGGAAUUCCCAGUGUAGAGGUGAAAUUCGUAGAUAUUGGGAAGAACACCGGUGGCGAAGGCGGCAACCUGGCUCAUGACUGACGCUGAGGCGCGAAAGCGUGGGGAGCAAACAGGAUUAGAUACCCUGGUAGUCCACGC